UACUAGUGUUCCACGCGCUGGCAUACAUCACAGCGGCCAAGUCGGGUCUGUCGGAGUCUGAGCUGGAGGAUCUGAUCUCACUGGACGACAAGGUACUGGAUGACGUCUAUCAGUACCACAUGCCUCCCGUGAGGCGCAUCCCGCCUCUGUUGUGGACCCGCAUACGCAACGAUCUGCCAAACUACCUCAGCGAACGCGAGGCCGACGAGUCAGUGUACUCAACUGGUAUCACAGACAAUUCCGAGACACAGCCAAGGAGCGUUACUUCAAGAACGUGAAUAUGGCGUUGUAUUUCCAUUCUUCGAUUGCCGACUAUUUCCUGGGCAUAUGGGGAGGUGGAGUUCCUAAACCUUUCAAGUACACUGAGAUACAGAGACACAGAUUCAACUUGGCUGAUAAAGAGGGGUCAGCUGACAGGAAAGUGCCAGUCAGCCGCUAGUGUUCUAUUCGAAGGAUGGAAAAGUCACCAGAUACAAUCUGAGAAAAUUUGGCGAAAUGCCAUUUCACUUGGUGCGUUCGCGUCGUUUCAAGGACUUGUAUGAGAAUGUACUGUUUAACUACAAGUGGCUACAUGCCAAGCUGUCCUCGUGCCCCCUGCAAGCGGUGCUCAGUGACUUUGAAGACGCAUGCGCCAAUAUUGAUGACCGUGAAGCU